AGCGAACGCUGGCGGCAGGCCUAACACAUGCAAGUCGAACGGAUCCUUCGGGAUUAGUGGCGGACGGGUGAGUAACACGUGGGAACGUGCCCUUUGGUUCGGAACAACUCAGGGAAACUUGAGCUAAUACCGGAUGUGCCCUUCGGGGGAAAGAUUUAUCGCCAUUGGAGCGGCCCGCGUCUGAUUAGCUAGUUGGUGGGGUAAAGGCCCACCAAGGCGACGAUCAGUAGCUGGUCUGAGAGGAUGAUCAGCCACAUUGGGACUGAGACACGGCCCAAACUCCUACGGGAGGCAGCAGUGGGGAAUCUUGCGCAAUGGGCGAAAGCCUGACGCAGCCAUGCCGCGUGAAUGAUGAAGGUCUUAGGAUUGUAAAAUUCUUUCACCGGGGACGAUAAUGACGGUACCCGGAGAAGAAGCCCCGGCUAACUUCGUGCCAGCCGCCGCAGUAACAC
rnacentral:rRNA from 1 species